rnacentral:rRNA from 1 species
GACGAACGCUGGCGGCGUGCUUAACACAUGCAAGUCGAACGAAGUGGCGAACGGGUGAGUAAUACGUGGGUAACCUGCCCUCCUUUUUGGGAUAAGCCUUGGAAACGGGGUCUAAUACCGAAUAAGGGGGGAGGGGCGCGGGGCCUAUCGGCUUGUUGGUGGGGUGAUGGCCUACCAAGGAGGUGACGGGUAGCCGGCCUGUGAGGGUGACUGGCAACGAGGGGCGGGAGAGACGGCCCAGACUCCUACCGGAGGCAGCAGUGGGGGAUAUGGCGCAAUUGUCGAAAGCCUGAGGCAGCUGAGCCGCGUGGGGGUUGAAGGCGUUCGGGUUGUUAACCUGUUUCGCUAUCGAACGGGUAGGUGGCCAAGAAGCGCCGGCUAACUACGUGCCAGCAGCCGCGGUAAUAC